rfam:Roseovarius sp. HTCC2601 scf_1100011001366 genomic scaffold, whole genome shotgun sequence.
UUAAGCGGAGCGGGCCUCGGUUCCGGGCCUUGUCCGGAGAAUAGGGAACGCGGUGCAAACCCGCGACUGCCCCCGCAACUGUGAGCGGUGAGUGCGACCGGCAUAUGCCACUGGGCGAAACGCCCGGGAAGGCCCGCGUCGCGCGAUGACCCGCAAGUCAGGAGACCUGCCAAGGUGAUCACCCUCCC